GAAUAUUGGACAAUGGGGGGAACCCUGAUCCAGCCAUGCCGCGUGUGUGAAGAAGGCCUUUUGGUUGUAAAGCACUUUAAGCGAGGAGGAGGCUACUUAGAUUAAUACACUUGGAUCGUGGACGUUACUCGCAGAAUAAGCCCCGGCUAACCCUGUGCCAUAGACCGCGGUAAUACAGAGGGUGCAAGCGUUAAUCGGAUUUACUGGGCGUAAAGCGCGCGUAGGUGGCCAAUUAAGUCAAAUGUGAAAUCCCCGAGCUUAACUUGGGAAUUGCAUUCGAUACUGGUUGGCUAGAGUAUGGGAGAGGAUGGUAGAAUUCCAGGUGUAGCGGUGAAAUGCGUAGAGAUCUGGAGGAAUACCGAUGGCGAAGGCAGCCAUCUGGCCUAAUACUGACACUGAGGUGCGAAAGCAUGGGGAGCAAACA
rnacentral:rRNA from 1 species